AGUUAGAUGUGGUUGUGUGAAUGAUUCAAUGAAAGUUUGUGUCUUUGUGUCUCAUGUUCAAACAUACAGGUAUAAAAUGUACAGCUAUUAUAUACUCUCAAUUUGGCAGCAAUUGUACUAUAACAUCUUGAGUCUCAGUCAGAGACUUGUAUAACUAUAUGCAAUAUUUUUGAAACCAAAAAUACAUGUUCAAGUGUUUUUGAAUUAUUUUUGAAAGUGUAACAUAUAGAUAAUAUUAAAUAAGAAUCAGGAUAAUUGUUAGAUUUUCUGACAAAACAAAAGGGUAUCGAGUGCUUAUGUUCAUAUUUGUUAGUUACUGUACUGUAAUGUAUUAAAGACAGAUAUAUUGUAAAAGGAGUAGCAUUUAAAGGAAAUGUAAAAUGCUGAAUAUAAAUAAUUCAUUUUAGAAAAACAAAAUGUUAUUUUGUUUAUAUUAUACAUGUACCAUACAUACUAAUAAUACUGCCCUCAAACUUCAGCAGUAUUUAAACAAAGCCAUUGAUGAGCAGAGACAUCUAUACAUGAGCUCAGGGCCUCUGUCAUUGAUAUCAACAAUAAUGUGUUCACAGUACAAAAAUGAAAUCCCAUGUCACAAACUUCAGCAAUGAUUGACAAGAAUCAAGCUACUUUAUAUUACAUGUACAUGUAGAUACCCAUAUUUCUGGUAUGAAUGUGUGUGACAUUGACAAAUAAAUGGCUAGCUAGUUUAAGUAAGAAUGGCAUAGUUGAAAAUGUACAUAAGUAUAUUAUGAGUGCUAUUGAAUUUGCUACAACAAAUAAUUGUAAACAAAGCUUUGUUUGAUUCUGGGUCACAACAUGUUAGUGAACUCGGGUAAUACAGUUAGUACAUUUAGUAGUUGCAUAGUGCUAUCUUUAGGUUUCAUUUUGUGGAAGAUUUUGAGUUCAUAUGAAUUGAAAUCAAUUGUUGAUUGUAUAUGUACAUUGAACUAAAAUGACAUGCAAGGUAUAUGUAGAUACCAGUGAAUUUCAUCUAAAAUUUGGCAGCAAACAAGAUGAAAUCUAUUUUAUUACCUAUGUUCUGUACAUAAAAGUUCAUCUUAGCUUUAGAUACCUGUUAAUAAAUGUACACAAUAACAGAGUAUUAACAUUUAUAGACAUCAGUUUGUACGUGUAUAAAGAUCUGUCUUCCUUCUGUCUUGUACUCACUCUAUUCAUCUAUCACUCAUUCAUCAAUCUGGACACGACUGGUGUGAUCAAAGAAUUGACUGUAUCAUAAACCAUACACAUGUAAUCUGUAGAGUGAUUAUAUUAAAAUGUCUGCAG
rnacentral:sRNA from 1 species